rnacentral:rRNA from 1 species
UGAGUGGGCCUGUUGAAAGCGUGUGUACUGAGUGAGCUGUUUACAGGUGUGCGGGGUGAAACCUGUAUGCCUUGCAGCCAUUGAACGGUGCGCACCCACCAUGCGGGGUGUUGUGUUCGCCUCAAAAACGAGCAGAAUACCCCCGUUUACUUGGAGGAAAUUAGAGUGUUUCAAGCAGGCGUACGCCACUGAAUACAUUAGCAUGGGAUAAUGAAAAAGGACUUUUGGUUCUGAAUUUCGUUGGUGUGUUCGAGGACUAGAGUAAUGGUCAAUAGGGACAGUUGGGGGUGCUAGGAUUUGACGGCCAGGGGUGAAAUUCUUGGAUUCGUUAAAGACUAACAAGUGCGAAAGCAUUCACCAGGGAUGUCUCCGUUAAUCAAGAACGAAAGUUGAGGGAUCGAAAGGGAUCAGAUACCCCUGUAGUCUCAACUGUAAACGGUGCCGACCAGGGAUGGGUGGUGCAGUUGGAACUUGGUGGGUGUGAAAGGCCGACCGAGGAUGACCCCGCCCGGACCUUGUGAGAAAUCAUUGAGUGCGUGGGUUCUGGGGGGAGUAUGAUCGCAAGAAGGAAACUUAAAGGAAUUGACGGAAGGGCACACCAGGAGUGGAGCCUGCGGCUUAAUUUGACCCAACACGGGGAAACUUACCAGGACCAGACAUGGCGAGGAUUGACAGAUUGAAGCUCUUUCAAGAUUCUAUGGUUGGUGGUGCAUGGCCGUUCUUAGUUCGUGGAUUGAUUUGUCUGGUUGAUUCCGUUAACGAACGAGACCUGGACCUGCUAAAUAGCUUAUCGUGGGUGUGGCCUUUGCGGGCGACACCACCGGGCUUCUUAGAGGGACAAUCGGUGCGAAAUAGCCGGUGGAAGAUCCAGGCAAUAACAGGUCUGUGAUGCCCUUAGAUGUUCUGGGCCGCACGCGCGCUACACUGACGAGUGGAGUGAGUAUAGAAAAGGUUGUUGCGCAAGCAGCAAUCGUGCCUGGGCCGAGAGGCUUGGGAAAUCUGGUGACAAAGCUCGUCGUGAUGGGGAUAGACCAUUGUAAUUGUUGGUCUUGAACGAGGAAUUCCUAGUAAACGCGCGUCAUCAGCGCGCAUUGAUUACGUCCCUGCCCUUUGUACACACCGCCCGUCGCUACUACCGAUUGAGUGUGUUGGUGAGGCGUGGGGAGCCGUGGGUUUCUUAGCUGGGCCCGUGGCGAACCACUCCAAACCUGUACAUUUAGAGGAAGUAAAAGUCGUA